rnacentral:misc_RNA from 1 species
GCAAACUUGGUCAUUUAGAGGAAGUAAAAGUCGUAACAAGGUUUCCGUAGGUGAACCUGCGGAAGGAUCAUUACAAAGGUUUCAAAAUUGCCCGUGGUACCCUCCACUUUGCUGGAGGGUAGAUCACGGCAAUUUCAACCACGAUCAUCCACCGUGUGCACUCAUUGAACUAAUAGUUCUAAAAAAAUCUUUCCAAUGUCUUUUUAACUGUCUGUCUGAUUUUUAUAUAACAAAUUUAUAAUACAACUUUCAACAACGGAUCUCUUGGCUCUCGCAUCGAUGAAGAACGCAGC